CCUACGGGAGGCAGUAGUGAGGAAUAUUGGUCAAUGGACGAGAGUCUGAACCAGCCAAGUAGCGUGAAGGAUGACUGCCCUAUGGGUUGUAAACUUCUUUUAUAUGGGAAUAAAAUGUUCCACGUGUGGGAUUUUGUAUGUACCAUAUGAAUAAGGAUCGGCUAACUCCGUGCCAGCAGCCGCGGUAAUACGGAGGAUCCGAGCGUUAUCCGGAUUUAUUGGGUUUAAAGGGAGCGUAGGUGGAUUGUUAAGUCAGUUGUGAAAGUUUGCGGCUCAACCGUAAAAUUGCAGUUGAAACUGGCAGUCUUGAGUACAGUAGAGGUGGGCGGAAUUCGUGGUGUAGCGGUGAAAUGCUUAGAUAUCACGAAGAACUCCGAUUGCGAAGGCAGUUCACUGGACUGCAACUGACACUGAGGCUCGAAAGUGUGGGUAUCAAACAGGAGUAGAUACCCCAGUAGUC
rnacentral:rRNA from 1 species